rnacentral:rRNA from 1 species
GAUGAACGCUGGCGGCGUGCCUAAUACAUGCAAGUCGAGCGAACGGACGCGAAGCUUGCUUCUCUGAUGUUAGCGGCGCACGGGUGAGUAACACGUGGAUCACCUACCUAUAUGACUGGGAUCACUUCGGGAAUCCGUAGCUAAUACCGGAUAAUCUUUUGAACCGCAUGGUUCAAAAGUGAAAGACGGUCUUGCUGUCACUUAUAGAUGGAUCCGCGCUGCAUUAGCUAGUUGGUAAGGUAACGGCUUACCAAGGCUACGAUGCGUAGCCGACCUGAGAGGGUGAUCGGCGACACUGGAACGGAGACACGGACCAGAGUCCUACGGGAGGCAGCAGUAGGGAAUCUGCCGCAGUAGGCGAAAGCAUGACGGAGCAACGCCACGUGAGUGAUGACGGUCUUCGGAGCGUAAAACUCUGUUAUUAGGGAAGAACAUAUGUGUAAGUAACUGUGCACAGCUUGACGGUAACUAAUCAGAAAGCAACGGCUAACUACGUG